rnacentral:rRNA from 1 species
ACUCAAAUGAAUUGACGGGGGACCGCACAAGCGGUGGAGCGCGUGGUUUAAUUCGAUGUUAAGCGAAGAACCUCACCGAGGUUUGACAUGCUACUGCAAAGCCUAUGAAAGUAGGCCUCCUUCGAGGGUGUAGCACAGGUGUUGCACGGCUGUUGUCAGCUCGUGUCGUGAGAUGUCUGCUUAAGUGCUUUAACGAGCGCAACCCCUGCGAUAAGUUGUAUCACUCUUAUCGGACUGCCCUGGCGUAUGCCAGGGAGGAAGGCGGGGAUGACUUCAAGUCAGCGUGGCCCUUAUACCUCGGGCUACACACGCGCUACAAUGGUAGGGACAACGGGUUGCAAGCGGGUAACCGUAAGCUAAUCCCUCAAACCCUACCUCAGUUCGGAUUGUCGGCUGAAACUCGCCGGCAUGAAGUUGGAAUCGCUAGUAAACGCAGGUCAGCACACUGCGUUGAAUACGUUCUCGGUCCUUGUACACACCGCCCGU